rnacentral:rRNA from 1 species
GACAGAGGAGGCCAGCGUUGUUCGGAAUCAUUGGGCUUAAAGGGCGCGUAGGCGGCUGGGCAAGUGUCGUGUGAAACUCUCCGGCUCAACCGGGGAACUGCGCGGCAAACUGCCUGGCUUGAGGCUGGUAGAGGUGCCUGGAACUCUAGGUGUAGCGGUGAAAUGCGUAGAUAUCUAGAGGAACGCCGGAGGCGAAAGCGGGGCACUGGGCCAGUUCUGACGCUGAGGCGCGAAAGCGUGGGGAG